AGAAAUAGCAAAAAGACAAAAAAAAAAAAUCAAUAUGCUGUUAAGGCACAUUUUGAGGUGGCCUAUCCCGGACCCCGACAGUCCUCAUGGUGCGGGGGGGAGAGGGCGAGCUCCCUGGGGUCUCUUACAAGGGCGUUAAUUCCAUGCAUGAGGGCGCUGCCCUCAUGACCUAAACACCUGCCAGAGGCCCUCUGUGCAAACACCACCACAUUGGGGGUUAGAACUUAAUACACUGGGGCGGGCGGAGGUGCAUGUGUGGAAGUGUCUCGUCUAAGGCAGGUGAUUAUGAACCUCCCUGGACUAAGCGUUCGCAUUUGUUAACGGGAUCAAUACCCCCUGCCUGGGAGGGUCGUGUAGGACACUUUGAGGCACUCUCUGUAGGCGCGCAGACUUUGCCACUCCGACAUGUGCCACCUCGGCCUGAGGAUUAGUUCAGGCUGGUUAUUUUUAAGAGAGAGGACUCGGGAAGUCUCUCAUUUUACCUGUCCCCUCCCCUGCCCCCCAGCUGCCUAAAGAAUUUAGAUAAAAGACCCUUUCCUGAAAUAGAGCCAUCACAGAGAGGUCUGCAAAAGCACAUGGCCCUUGGGAUGGGGAGACCCAGGGAUCGGAGUCCACGGUGUCCCCCUGUCUCUGCAUGGCCCCCCCCCCCCAAACAUUUGUUUACCAAACAUCUGCGUCUCCAUCUCUGUGUGAAUUGCCUUCUGCCCCUUUGAAGUCCCAAACCACGAACCAUAACACCCUUUUUUGUCUGGAGCUGAAGAUGGUGUUUAAGCUGAUAGCCCCUCUGGUGAGCUGCGUGGUUUUCCUGGGUCUGUCCCGUGUACACGUCAUUAAACUGUUGUGUGAUGGUCUCCUGCUCAUCUGUCGGUUUAAUUCCUCGGGCAGCCAGGAGAACCCAGAGCAGCCGAGGGCAAGGUCUUCCUUCGCAGCACGUUGGCCUCUGCUCGCUUGCUGGCCUGGGAGCUCUUUGAAGACCCCGGUUCUGCCUUUUUGUUGAUUCCCUGGUCAAACAGACCCACAGUCUGUUAUCUGCAAUAUGCCAAAAUGCAAAAAAGCUCUGAAAAUGGAGAGGCUUUCUUCCCCCAAGUUUGGUGCCAAGAUUCGGCUUGCUGCCGCACUCUGACCCGAGGUCCAGGCACCUCUGUUGUUCUUGGAUGGAUGGAUGUCAUGUGCGUUUUAACUUUUAAAUUGUACUUUUCCUCUUGUGACUUGGGGUUCAUUUGCACUAUUCAUGCGUUAAAAAAGAGUUCAAGACACCCCCUUGCGGGCUGUGGGAAGGGCACAGACACACAGGCCCUGCCGAUAUCGGGAAGCCGGUGAUGUCAGGACCCACUGGACAGACAGUUGAAGUUCCGCAGUAUUGGUGCUGCCUGAGCCCCCCUGAGCCCCGGAAACGGCUGAACGUGGUGGGGGAGGGGGCGGGGGUGCUCUCAGCCCUGAGGCCCCAGCUCACGCCAGGCGUCGCUUUGCUGCGGGUGAAACAGCGUGGAUUCUCGCCGGACGCGCUGAUCUUGAAAGGCGAGCACGAAUGUGCAGGAGGUUGGCUGUGGCUGCGGAGACUGAGAAAGCGUUAUACGAUGCUGAACGACCCGAGUGCCUGUGGCAGCACAAUGUCCUGUCCGCAGACACCUGAAAGUCACGCUGAUGGAUUUGCUGAGCUGGCUUCGAGUUAAACACCCUCGUCUCCCCCAGUCUUCUGAGGCCAUGAGGCAGCGGGGCCGUGGGCUCUGUUCCUAGCAGGGCAUCGGAAGGGUUGGGGGUGCAGCCAGGGUUUCGGGACCAAGAGCACAGGCCCAGGGAGGAUGAAAAAGCCCUGGGUGUGCGUGGCGCGUGUGUCCCCAGGUCCCCUCACGCAAACCCGCGUGUCCUGGUGACCCAAGAAACGUUUUCUGCCUGGUCCGAUCCUCCCUUUCAAUCAGCAAGGUGAAUUCACCGAGGUGGGCUGGACGGGGACGUGGGGGGGCGGAUGUCGUUUCUGCCCCACAGCUCCCCCCACCGCCCUCCUGAAUGUCUGUUGAAAAGUAUUAUUUCUGACCUUUGCUUUUGCCCUGAUUUGUGAAAGACGUCUUACACUCCAGGAAGAGGGGCCAUAAAUGCUUUCUUGAGGUGGGGUGAGGGGGCGCUGAGUGCUUCCUGCAGGUCAUUCACCGACGCUGACGCGGGGCUUCUGGAACAAGUUUGCUUGCAAGACGGCCGCCUGCAGUGGCUGGUGCUGGCGCCAGGCAGGCUCUGUUCCAGCACGAUGCUUGCUGCUGGACCCGGAGAGGAAGCCCACCCGACCGCAGGAGGAGAAGGGGCUGGCCAGCUUCCUUGCUUUCCCCCCAAGCCGAUCCCCCGGACACGUAAAUCGGGGGACAGGAACACGGGCGAAACGCUGGAUGUGGAGGUGGGGCAGGUCUUGAGCCUUCCGUGAGCGAUGGAGGAAUCGCUGGAAUGGGUUGAAUCCAGAUGAGAACUGGGAGGAGAGAGGAUGCCGGAGGCCCCUGGGGGCUGUGCAGUCAUAACGCGUGACCUGCCGACCGCUGGCUUCCAGGACGUCGCUCAGCAAGCAGGCGACCCCCAAGCUAAAGAGAUGCUUCGUUCCCGGCAACCUGGGGAGAUGGGCCGAGAAGCACGCGGUCGUGGUGCCCCAACGCCCACCCUCCAACGUCCACCUGGCCUGGUGACCGAGGCCGUGCCCGCUGCUGGGCCUCCUCCUAGAGCUGCGGCUGCCAGGCGUCAAAGCGACUCACUGCUCGGCCCUGGACGAUUUGAACUCCACAGCAAGCUUGCCCAGAGAACCCGGACCUGGAGCUCAGCAAAAUGAUCCCAGGCUAUGUGUUGGGCCUGCCAACCCGCUGUUCCUCCAGGUUAAUCGUUUGUGAUAAACCUUCCCGUUCAAAUUAC